UUCAAUACUGCUGCUUGCAGCAGUGUGCACUUUUCUCUUAGUAAGACGUUGUGAUCCAUUAGGAAUUGAAUGCUUUCGGGUAUUCAUUGGGCUACCAAUAGUCGGAUUGUGAAGUUCAUUUUGACAAAUAAUACAGUCUUUACGGUUGUGUAUAUUGUCUUAUGAGCACUGUCCUGUACUGGUGUAGCUGCCUGAUGGGUUUUAAAGGUCAUAAUAUUGAUACUAUAUGUAUCACCUGCCUUCGGGUGGGACAUUGUUAUGUGCCCGAUCAACAACGGUUUCAUUUGGGAUACCUUUGGGACCCGUCUUGAAACACGGACCAAGGAGUCUAUCUAGUAUGCAAGUAAAUGGGACAUUUAAACCUAUUUGCGUAAAUAACUUGACUGUUAUAUGGGAUUACGAAUUACAUUCUAAUCGAUGUAUUCCUCCAUCCCGGGGUAUUUUCAUAACAUAUGCGGGUAACUGUAUAUAGAAAAUAUACCAUGAGCAUACUGGAUAUGACCCGAAAGAUGGUGAACUAUGCCUGAUCAGGUUGAAGUCAGGGGAAACCCUGAUGGAGGACCGAAGCAAUUCUGACGUGCAAAUCG
rnacentral:rRNA from 1 species